CCACGACCCGGCAUUCGGUAGAGGGAAAAGGAGCAAUCCGCUUUGAGAUGGCCUCGCGUCCGAUUAGCUAGUUGGUGAGGUAAUGGCCCACCAAGGCGACGAUCGGUAGCCGGACUGAGAGGUUGAACGGCCACAUUGGGACUGAGACACGGCCCAGACUCCUACGGGAGGCAGCAGUGGGGAAUAUUGCACAAUGGGGGAAACCUGAUGCAGCGACGCCGCGUGGAGGAAGAAGGUCUUCGGAUUGUAAACUCCUGUUGUUGAGGAAGAUAAUGACGGUACUCAACAAGGAAGUGACGGCUAACUACGUGCCAGCAGCCGCGGUAAAACGUAGGUCACAAGCGUUGUCCGGAAUUACUGGGUGUAAAGGGAGCGCAGGCGGGAAGACAAGUUGGAAGUGAAAUCCAUGGGCUCAACCCAUGAACUGCUUUCAAAACUGUUUUUCUUGAGUAGUGCAGAGGUAGGCGGAAUUCCCGGUGUAGCGGUGGAAUGCGUAGAUAUCGGGAGGAACACCAGUGGCGAAGGCGGCCUACUGGGCACCAACUGACGCUGAGGCUCGAAAGUGUGGGUAGCAAACAGGAUUAGAUACCCUGGUAGUCCACACUGUAAACGAUGAUUACUAGGUGUUGGAGGAUUGACCCCUUCAGUGCCGCAGUUAACACAAUAAGUAAUCCAUCCUGGGGAGUA
rnacentral:rRNA from 1 species